rnacentral:tRNA from 1 species
GGUAGAGCACGACCUUGCCAAGGUCGGGGUCGAGGGUUCGAAUCCCUUCGCCCGCUCCA